rnacentral:rRNA from 1 species
AACCAAACUCUUUUCUGUAGUCCCCUCGCGGACGUUAUUUCUUACAGCUCUGAGCAAAAAUUCAAAAUGAAUCAAAACUUUCAACAACGGAUCUCUUGGUUCUGGCAUCGAUGAAGAACGCAGCGAAAUGCGAUAAGUAAUGUGAAUUGCAGAAUUCAGUGAAUCAUCGAAUCUUUGAACGCACAUUGCGCCCGCCAGUAUUCUGGCGGGCAUGCCUGUCCGAGCGUCAUUUCAACCCUCGAACCCCUCCGGGGGGUCGGCGUUGGGGACCUCGGGAGCCCCUAAGACGGGAUCCCGGCCCCGAAAUACAGUGGCGGUCUCGCCGCAGCCUCUCCUGCGCAGUAGUUUGCACAACUCGCACCGGGAGCGCGGCGCGUCCACGUCCGUAAAACACCCAACUUCUGAAAUGUUGACCUCGGAUCAGGUAGGAAUACCCGCUGAACUUAAGCAUAUCAAUAAGCGGAGGGAAAAAACCAA